UUAACAGGUCACGUGAUCUGGCUCUUGAUUUUAUUAUUGUUAUUUUUGUAUUUCUUUGCCGAGAGUCAAACAUAUCAAACAAGAGCAUCUACGGUAAUUCACGUGGCCAAAACACACAAGGGAAUGCGUCGUGAAAAAAUUUUAUAAAAAUUGACAUUCGCAUUUGGACCGGAUUGGUUUUCUCAGAGGAUCAUGGAGUUUGCCGGAAAACAGUAGAUGGCGAGACAAAGUCCAGGGAAGAAAGAGAGGGGGG